rnacentral:rRNA from 1 species
UCUUUAUAUUUUUUAUAAUUUUUAUUUAUUUAGAAAUUUUAAAAUAUAAUUAUAAAAAAUAUUUUAUUGGGGUGAUAAUAAGAUUUAAAUAACUCUUAUAAUAUUUAUACAUUAAUUUUUGGUUUAUUGAUCCAUUAGUAAUGAUUAUUAAAUUAAGU